UGCGCGUGCGCGGUGCCUUCCCGCCCAGCGCCGAUCUGAGGUGUUUCCCGCCACGGCCUCCUGAGGCGCUGAGGGGCCGAAGGGCGUCGCGCUCACUCCGCGAUCUGCGGCCUCACCUCAGCGGUUGCUCCUGCCUCGCGCUCCUUCAGGUGACUGCUGUGACUGAGAUCACCUCCAUCCCAGCCCUUCUCCUUGGUGUUCCUCUUUCUCCUUUGUCUCUUGCAUUGAACAGCCUUAGCCAGAUGGUUCCACUUGGCCAAACAUUCCUUCGUUUUUUGGAAGAUGUGUUGCAAAGAUCUUCAUGGACCCCUCGCUAUAUCCUAAAAAUCUACGCAGACUUAGGUGACUGAAAAGCAGCUGCAGCCUGCAGAGAUUUUUUUCUUCUGUGCAGCCGCUUGUAGGAGCAAACAAGAGAAGAGCCCACCUCUGGCCAUGCAUUUGGGGAGCUGUACUUCUCUAAAAGCUAGAAUCUGGACAAGCAGAAACCACUGUACACCGUGUUAUCUCAUCUGCCAUGUACAACGGUAAAAUUCUGUUUUUGUUGUCAGGAAAGCACCUCUUUCCAGACACUACUGCCAGACUGUCAAGGGUUUGAAUCCCCAGUACACGAACAACACUUACUAGGAGGCUGAUCAAGUUUUACUAUUGAUGCUUGUAGUGCAUAAAGUGCUUGUAGUUCCUUCUCUGUG